ACUUUUUCAAAAAUAAAAAUCAGAGUAACUAUAACUUAUAAAUUUCAACAUGAUAGUUCAAUUCAUUUUUGUCUCAUCUUCAUGCCAAGUCAUUUUUUUUUUUUAGUUCUUACCGGGUCAAAGUAAUAAUUAUUUUUUAAAUAUUCCUGCCCCUUACCGUGAAAAUCAAAUAGUUGGCCCAUUUUUUUUAGCUCCCCUUAUGAUGUUUUUCUGAAGAAAAAAAUCCCACCAGAUCUACCGUACUACGCAAUCAUAAUCGUCAUUGUUUGAAGUUUUGAACUUAUUUUGUCAUCAACAAUUCUUAAAAUCUUUUGAUGAAGAUUAUUGCAACAGAUAUGAGACUUGAUUGACGUAUUGAUCAAUGUUAACAGUUAAUCCGUUUGAAGUCAGGUCAGUGUAGCGUGAAGCAUUUAAAAACGAAGUGGCGUUUCUUUUUGGGCUCAUAUUGUAUCUACUCGUCAAGCAAAAUCAUGUGGGAAGAAGAAUUUGCCAAGUUUCUACAGAGGUAUGCUUAAAUGUGUAAAUAUAAAUGAAAUAGAGUGAGGGCAUAUAAACAUACAAUAGUACAUAUUAUUAUUAUUUUCCGUUUUUCCUUUUUAUAAUUUUUUAUUUCUCUUUCGUAGUGCGGGUUAAGAUAAGAUUUAGAUAAGAUAAGACUUUAUUGGUUUAAAAUCCCAAUUUUUUUUAUUAAUCAUGGAACCAGACCGAACAUCCUUACCUUGGUCUAUUUAGGUCACAGAGAGAUAAAUACUAAGCGCGGAUAAAAUUUUCAAUUGAAACAAGAAAAUAUGAUGCACAAAGAAAUACAAUACUCAUUUGCAUACUUGGAAACAAACAAACAAGAAUUCGACGACAUAAACUUCAUUGCAGUACCAGGACUUUGUCAGUGUGUUCGAUACGCAAUGAUUAUAAAUUUUACGGGUUUCAUUUCUUAAUUUUUGCG
rnacentral:lncRNA from 1 species